rnacentral:rRNA from 1 species
CCUACGGGUGGCAGCAGUAGGGAAUAUUGCUCAAUGGGCGAAACCCUGAACCAGCAACGCCGCGUGGAGGAUGAAGGUUUUAGGAUUGUAAACCCCCUUUGUGAGAGAAGAAAAGGACGGUAACUCACGAAUAAGCACUGGCUAACUCCGUGACAGCAGCCGCGGCAAUAUGGAGGGUGCAAGCGUUAUUCGGAAUCACUGGGCGUAAAGGGUGCGUAGUCGGGCUUGUAAGUCAGAGGUGAAAUCCUGUAGUUUAACUACAGAACUGCAUUUGAAACUGUGAGUCUCGAGUGUGGGAGAGGUAGGUGGAAUUCUUGGUGUAGCGGUGAAAUCCGUAGAUAUCAAGAGGAAUACUCAUUGCGAAGGCGGCCUACUGGAACAUUACUGACGCUCAUGCACGAAAGCGUGGGGAGCAAACAGGAUUAGAUACCCGAGUAGUC